CCCUGUAAACAAGAGAACUCAAUGGCCAAGGAAUACUGCUCCCUCAGCCUCACAUGCCAUAACAUUUUGGGUACUAUGCUUGGUAAACAUCGCAAAGGUAGGAGCUAAUGAAGCCGAAUGACUUGGAACAGCCACCGGGAAGCGUAACUGCAGCAUAUAAAAUUUGCACCGUCUUGGAAUGAUACUUGAGAGGAGACGCGAUGAACGUUCCAAAUGCUUUUGUCUAGUGGAAUGACAGCAUUGUGUAUAUCUAGGCUCCAAAACUUUGGCAUCCUGGUUUUUGUGUCAUGAAGGUCAUUAUAAAGCUAUGAAGCAAA